rnacentral:misc_RNA from 1 species
UUUGGUAGAGGCAGGCUUAG